AUCCUACGGGAGGCAGCAGUGGGGAAUAUUGCACAAUGGGCGCAAGCCUGAUGCAGCCAUGCCGCGUGUAUUGAAGAAGGCCUUCGGGUUGUAAAGUACUUUCAGCAGUGAGGAAGUGGGUAUGUUAAUAGCAUACUCAUUUGACGUUAGCUGCAGAAGAAGCACCGGCUAACUCCGUGCCAGCAGCCGCGGUAAUACGGAGGGUGCGAGCGUUAAUCGGAAUUACUGGGCGUAAAGCGCAUGCAGGUGGUUUGUUAAGUCAGAUGUGAAAGCCCGGGGCUCAACCUCGGAAUUGCAUUUGAAACUGGCAAACUAGAGUACUGUAGAGGGGGUAGAAUUUCAGGUGUAGCGGUGAAAAUGCGUAGAGAUCUGAAGGAAUACCGGUGGCGAAGGCGGCCCCCUGGACAGAUACUGACACUCAGAUGCGAAAGCGUGGGGAGCAAACAGGAUUAGAUACCCUGGUAG
rnacentral:rRNA from 1 species